rnacentral:rRNA from 1 species
AGUCGAGCGGUAGCACAGAGAGCUUGCUCUCGGGUGACGAGCGGCGGACGGGUGAGUAAUGUCUGGGAAACUGCCUGAUGGAGGGGGAUAACUACUGGAAACGGUAGCUAAUACCGCAUAAUGUCGCAAGACCAAAGUGGGGGACCUUCGGGCCUCAUGCCAUCAGAUGUGCCCAGAUGGGAUUAGCUAGUAGGUGGGGUAACGGCUCACCUAGGCGACGAUCCCUAGCUGGUCUGAGAGGAUGACCAGCCACACUGGAACUGAGACACGGUCCAGACUCCUACGGGAGGCAGCAGUGGGGAAUAUUGCACAAUGGGCGCAAGCCUGAUGCAGCCAUGCCGCGUGUGUGAAGAAGGCCUUCGGGUUGUAAAGCACUUUCAGCGGGGAGGAAGGCGUUGAGGUUAAUAACCUUGUCGAUUGACGUUACCCGCAGAAGAAGCACCGGCUAACUCCGUGCCAGCAGCCGCGGUAAUACGGAGGGUGCAAGCGUUAAUCGGAAUUACUGGGCGUAAAGCGCACGCAGGCGGUCUGUCAAGUCGGAUGUGAAAUCCCCGGGCUCAACCUGGGAACUGCAUUCGAAACUGGCAGGCUAGAGUCUUGUAGAGGGGGGUAGAAUUCCAGGUGUAGCGGUGAAAUGCGUAGAGAUCUGGAGGAAUACCG